rnacentral:rRNA from 1 species
UACGGGGGGGAGCAAGCGUUGUUCGGAUUUACUGGGCGUAAAGGGCGCGUAGGCGGUCAGCACAAGUCAGUUGUGAAAUCUCCGGGCUUAACUCGGAAAGGUCAACUGAUACUGUGCGACUAGAGUGCAGAAGGGGCAACUGGAAUUCUCGGUGUAGAGGUGAAAUUCGUAGAUAUCGAGAGGAACACCGGUGGCGAAGGCGGCGAUCUGGACAGUGACUGACGCUGAGACGCGAAAGCGUGGGGAGCAAACAGG